AAUGAUGAUGUCCAGAAGGCGAUUAAAGAGAAGAAAGAUUGCUUCAGACGCCUAUACCUGGAUAGGAGUGCAGACAACAUAGAGAAGUACAAGAUGGCGAAGAAGGCCGCAAAGCGAGCUGUUGGUGAAGCAAGGGGUCGGGCAUAUGAGGACCUCUACCAACGGUUAGGCACGAAGGAAGGUGAAAGGGACAUCUAUAAGAUGGCCAAGAUCCGAGAGAGGAAGACGAGGGAUAUUGGCCAAGUCAAAUGCAUCAAGGACGGAGCAGGCCAACUCUUGGUGAAGGACGAGGAGAUUAAGCAUAGAUGGCGGGAGUACUUCAACAAGCUGUUCAAUGGGGAGAAUGAGAGUUCUACCAUUGAACUAGACGAGUCCUUUGAUGAGACUAGCAUGCGUUUUGUGCGGCGAAUCCAGGAGUCUGAGGUGAAGGUGGCUUUAAAAAGGAUGAAAGGAGGCAAGGCGAUGGGCCCUGAUUGUAUCCCCAUUGAGGUGUGGAAAGGUCUCGGGGACAUAGCGAUAGUAUGGCUA
rnacentral:rRNA from 1 species